CCUAGACGAUACGUUGAGUGACGUGUCCACACAGAUUGUCUGAUAACUGUCACGAGCAAAGCAGCCCGUCGGCGGCUUUUUCCUGUUCGCCCGGCGAGCAAGGUAAACGUCAUUGGCGGCUGAGCGAAGUUACCACCGCUUUUGCGGUCAGGGUUGCCCGCUUGCCUCACUGAAAGCGGUGCCUUUUCCGCCCAGGUAUCGCGGUGCGUUGCCCGCGUUUUACGAGUCCCCUUCGUCUAGUGGCCUAGGACACUGCCCUUUCACGGCGGUAACAGGGGUUCGAACCCCCUAGGGGACGCCACUUUGCUUGCUAUUUCAGAGCGCGUUUAUCGAGCGCGCUGCGAAAUACCGCUCUUUAACAAUCCGGAACAAGCUGAAAAUUUGAAACACAUGCUGAAGUGCAAACUCAGUAUGCGAGUCUCUCAAACGAAGUAAGCAAACCUGAGACAGCUCAGGGUUGUGA
rnacentral:misc_RNA from 1 species